AGACUAUAAAUAGACUAUUCUGAUUAAAAUAUCUUUUCUAUUUAAUAAUAUAAUUUAAACUAGUUUAUGCUGAGAUACGCAAAAUUUUGAUUCUUUUCAGUUUUUUCUGUAGAAUUUGAUUUUAAGCUCCUGAUUAUCCCUCAACUAAGGAAAAUACCCUUACGGAGACACUUAGCUCAUCAAAAGAUGAGAUGAACUAUUUUUUAUCAAAAAGUAAUGGUAGUAAUGCAGAUUUUUUACGCUCCUCAGAUGAAUAUAAGCCAAGCACAGACAGUGAUAGUUCUUAUGAGACAGAUAGUUCAGAUGAUAAUCUCCCACUCAGUACACUAGUUCACAAUAAAAAGCGAAUCAAAAAUAAAAAACAGCAGAGCUUACA